rnacentral:lncRNA from 10 species
AGGAAUUAGGUUGCUCAACACUGGAACAUAAACUGGCAUUUGGUGUAGAACCUCUGGCCUUCUUUCAUGCCUCAAAGAUUCUACUCUUUCACCAAAUAUUAACAGAGAAAGGAUGCCAUGGAAGAUCAUCUGCCCCUCCUCUGGAACAGGCGGUAGCAGCAUAAACUCGUGAUGUGACUGUAAACAAUACGGAAAUGAAGCAGUCUAAGAGGGAAGCGCCGUUCUCUCCUCUAACUGAUCUCUCACUACAAAGCUCAAAGAGAAGAAAAUUGGAAUUGUACAGAGGACUGAGGUGGAGAAAAGACAGAGUCUAACGUCAUAUUUGGAUCCUUCAUUUAUUCCUCAACUCAGCCAUCACUACUGUCUUAUUUCAUUCUCAUGCUGCUAUGAAGAAAUACUGAGGUGGGGUAAUUUAUAAUGGAAAGACACUUAAUUGGAUCACAGUUCCACAGGGCUGAGGAGGCCUCAGGAAACAUACAAUCAUGGAGGAAGGGGAAGAAAACACAUCCUACUUCACAUGGUGGCAAGAAGAAGAAGUGUUGAGCCAACAGGGGAAAAGCCCUUUUCUCAUCAGAUCUCAUGAGAACUCAUACACUAUCACGAGGACAGCAGCAUGGGGAUAACUACCCCCAUGAUUCAAUUACUCCCACCAGAUCCCUCCCAUGACACAUGGGUUUUAUGGGAGCUACAAUUCAAGAUGAGAUUUGGGUGGGGACACAGCCAAACCACAUCAACUUACUGAAUACUUUCUGUGUAUGUCUAAUAAUUUUGAUAUAGUUCUACUGUCUUUCCCCUGAUGGCUUUGCUUAGGGAUGUUUAUAAAUGAAAUUACUCAUCCUGUCACCAAAUUGUGAUCAAAGAUGAACAGAUCUGACUCAUUGUGGUGGUGAUGAUAAUAAUAAUCCAAAUUCUAUCCCCUCUGUUGUCAGUUUAAUCCUACCAUAACAUGGUGACCUGGGGAUUAAGCCUGACUAGCCACAGGGCUAACACAGGGGAAUAAUUCAUGAGAAUGACAAUUCAGACUCAGCCAAGGUUGCAUUUUUAUCAGUUCAUUGUUGAACCAUCAAUCAAAUGAGACCAAAGGUAACCACAAUACCGAGGAUACACAGAAGCUCACAUUGGGAUUAAUCUUCUGGUCCUUCUGAUCUCACAGGGACAGCUCUAAGUUAUGUUAUUUCAAUAGCCCUCUUAGAAUAACAUGGGAAGAUCCUAAAAUUGCUGCCUUGAGGUAGGGGAGGAACUCCACGUCAGUCUUUCAGAGUUCAUGCCAGUAACACAUUAAUAACAACAACAACAAAAAAAAACGUGCACUGAAGCUUCAUACUUUAAAUGCCAUUUGUUGUUGAAUCAUCGAGUCUACUUAAAUUUUUCUUCUAACAGAUCACAGACUACCAUGGUAGAUUUACUCUUAUAAUUCAUUUAAUAAAGAGACUUAAUUCAAAGAUUUAUGAAAAUAAUAACAACAAAAAUUGUUUAAAGUUUAUUUUUCUUCACCAACUGCUGUCCUGAGACAUGUUGCAUAGGUUCUCCCUCCAUUCCCUGUUGAAGGUAUUUUAGACAUAGCCCAUAGGUUUCCCAAUCACUUUUUAGUCAUAAGAACACAGGUCAUUUUAGAAAUGAAAACACUCUGGAUUCAGGAAUAUCCAAGAUUUCAAUCUUCAAUCUAGUUCACAAUAUCUCCUUUUCCCCAAGUUAAGGAAUAUAAGGUGGAGAAAUAAAAUAGUUGUACCUUCAGUAUUUAUUUUUCAUGUAUAUCUGCCUCCAUACUUCAUGCAGCAGGUGGGUGGGGCAGGAGGAGGUGCAAAGAUUAGAGAAGAGGGAAAUGAAUUCUACUGAGCUGGUUCUGUCUGUGGUGUUCUCUUGCCCAACAGUACCUAGUCAGCAUACUCUCUGUGGGGCAGGAGUUCUAACAUUAAAUUUUGAGUGUACACAGCUGUAGCUUCCUUAGAACUAUUUCUGUCCCUUGCUCUGUCAUGGACACCUUUGCACUGGUCAGCUCUGUGGGGACAGGAAAUGCACCCUUCAGACAAUUUUCUCAUCUCCCCAGGUAGCCCUAUGGGAAGAAUCCAUUCAGAGUGAUGUCAGAGACCGUGUUAUAAUUCCAGUUCUGCACCCCAUUGUUUUCCUUCCCUAUGCUACAACACUUAGCAGCAUCUACUCACUUUGGGGUAUACUUCCUGCCUCUUGACUUUGGAUUUGUCUAUUUGACUUACUCUGACCAAUAGAAUAAAGAUGAAAUGAUAUUAUACCCAUGUUAGCAAAAGCCUCGGCAGGAUUUUCAUGUUUGUUUCUUCUUUUGUUCUCUGUCAUUACCAGGAGAAGAAUAUCCUCAGCCUAGACUGUAGUUAUGAAAAAGGUGAUGACAAACACGAAGCAGUGCCACCAGCCACACCCAGCCUAGAUGACCAGGUACUAGCUUGCACAGGCAGACCUAUGAGUGGGCCUAGCAGGGACCAGCAGGGAAGCCAGCCUGGGCCUGUCCUGUGUUAUCUGAAUCCUAUCCAACCUUCCAUCUCAUGAGCCAAACAGAUACUCCUCAUUGUAUAGCACAGAGAUUAUGUGGAUGUGUGCUUAGGACAGUACUAUGGUGCAGUUAUUAACUGACACGAUUAAUUACCUUUGUGUCAUAAUUCACCUACCUGAAAUCCCUGCACUUUUAUUAUGUCAAAUAUGGAAAGCAUUUGCUGCUGCUAUGCUUCUUGUCCUGACUUUAUAAAUUACUUCCCACAUCCAUUCUGUCCUUUCUUAUAUGGGAGGUUGGCAAACAUUUUCUGUAAAGGGCCUGCUAAUACAUUUCUUACAGAUUGUAUGCUGUCUGCCUCCAUUUAUCUAUGCUAUUAUAAUGUGAAAGCAGCCGUAGAAAACAAAACAAUAAAUGGUGAGAUGUGGGUAUGUUUCAGUAAAAUUUUAUUUAUAAAAGCAGACAAUAGACUGGGUUUGGACCAUGGGUCAUAGUUUGUUAACCCAGCUUUAUGGUAACAAAAUCUGUUACCAUGGUAGCAAUGGGCAUAUGACUGCUUUGCUGAAACAUUAUCAUAUUCCUGCCUACUUUCCAGAUACAUGGCAAAAUAUCCAGUCAAUUUACUGUCAUAAAAAUAUUAUUUAAUAUCCUUAAGUCCCUGGCACAUCUCUGGCCCUUCUCCCACCUUUUCCCCUGGUAGAACUUGUACCAAAAGGAGAGAAGAUGCCUACACCUAGAGGAGUAAGCUCAAAAGAGCCAGGGUCUCUGACAAGUUCAUGAACUCACAACCAGUUUGGUCUGCAUAGUUAUGUCCUUCUUUUACAUUAAGUAUUUUUUCUUUUUUUUAAAUCCAUCUAAAUUAAGACUUGUC